GAACUCCAGUGGCGGACGGGUGAGUAACACGUAAGAAUUUGCCUUUAGGAGGGGGAUAACAACUGGAAACGGUUGCUAAUACCCCAUAUGCUUUCGAGUGAAAUGAAUGUUUUCGCCUAGAGAGAAGCUUGCGGCUGAUUAGCUUGUUGGUAGGGUAAUGGCCUACCAAGGCGACGAUCAGUAUCUGGUUUGAGAGGACGAUCAGACACACUGGGACUGAGACACGGUCCAG
rnacentral:rRNA from 1 species